rnacentral:rRNA from 1 species
ACGACUGCUAAGACUGGAUAGGAAGUUUUAAGGCAUCUUGAAACUUUUAAAAGACCCGCAAGGGUAUGCUAAGAGAUGGGCUUGCGGCACAUUAGUUAGUUGGUAAGGUAACGGCUUACCAAGACUAUGAUGUGUAGCUGGACUGAGAGGUUGAACGGCCACAUUGGGAUUGAGAUACGGCCCAAACUCCUACGGGAGGCAGCAGUAAGGAAUUUCCGGCAAUGGAGGAAACUCUGACCGUGCAACGCCGCGUGAACGAUGAAAUAUUUAGGUAUGUAAAGUUCUUUUAUUAAAGAAGAAAAAAUGAUGGAAAAAUCAUUCUGACGGUAUUUAAUGAAUAAGCCCCGGCUAACUAUGUGCCAGCAGCUGCGGUAAUACAUGGGGGGCAAGCGUUAUCCGGAUUUAUUGGGCGUAAAGGGUGUGUAGGCGGUUUAAUAAGUCUAUGGUAUAAGUUCAACGCUUAACGUUGUGAUGCUAUGGAAACUGUUUGACUAGAGUUGGAUAGAGGCAAGUGGAAUUCCAUGUGUAGCGGUAAAAUGCGUAAAUAUAUGGAGGAACACCAGUAGCGAAGGCGGCUUGCUGGGUCUUAACUGACGCUGAGGCACGAAAGCGUGGGGAGCAAACAGGAUUAGAUACCCUGGUAGUCCACGCCGUAAACGAUGAGUACUAAGUGUUGGGUUAAACCAGUGCUGAAGUUAACACAUUAAGUACUCCGCCUGAGUAGUACGUACGCAAGUAUGAAACUUAAAGGAAUUGACGGGACUCCGCACAAGCGGUGGAUCAUGUUGUUUAAUUCGAGGAUACACGAAAAACCUUACCAGGUCUUGACAUACUCUGCAAAGCUAUAGAAAUAUAGUGGAGGUUAUCAGGGAUACAGGUGGUGCAUGGUUGUCGUCAGCUCGUGUCGUGAGAUGUUGGGUUAAGUCCCGCAACGAGCGCAACCCUUAUCGCUAGUUACCAUCAUUUAGUUGGGCACUUUAGUGAGACUGCCAAUGAUAAAUUGGAGGAAGGUGGGGAUUACGUCAAAUCAUCAUGCCCCUUAUGACCUGGGCUACAAACGUGAUACAAUGGCUGUUACAAAGAGUAGCUGAAGCGUGAGUUUUUAGCAAAUCUCAAAAAAACAGUCUCAGUUCGGAUUGAAGUCUGCAACUCGACUUCAUGAAGUCGGAAUCGCUAGUAAUCGCGAAUCAGCAUGUCGUGGUGAAUACGUUGACGGGGUUUGUACACACCGCCCGUCA